rnacentral:snRNA from 1 species
AUCCAUUCGGAGACAUUCGAUAAAAUUGAAACGAUACAGAGAAUAUUAGAAUAGCCCGUGGCCAAAGAUGACAAACAUAAAAUCAAGAACUUUU